CUAAGAGGAUGUUCUGUUUCUUGGGCUCAGUACAGGAUAGCAAUUCACUGCCAUACAGGUAACGUUGAAUGCAAAGUGGAAAAGUGCAAAUGGUCCUAUCAUCACUCCCCCCGGAAUAUUUCUCAGACAAAGAUAUUGAUGUCUUCAUUGCAUGGAUUUCACUGCUACAAGUAGCCAUAGAAAUGCAAGCAGGCAGAGGCUUACAAAGCUCUGGGAGGUGAAACAAUAUGCCUGGAAGCAUAAAGUGACAUUGGUUAAGACACCGUCAGAAAAUGGACUGACUAGAAUUGAAUGAUAUGAGAAGCAAAGCUGCACUAGGAAAGGCCGCUGAUCUGGCUGAGCAAAGUAACACCUACAAGUCCCAAGCAAGAUCAGAGCACAUCAUAGGACACACAUCAUAGGAAGCGGCCUGUGCCCUGAGGUGCUUCCCAUCCAAGCAAGCAAGGCACAGAAAGGAAGACAGGAGGAGUGACUUGCUACCAUCACCUGGCUGAGCAGUGCCGGAGCCAAGGAUCAGUCUCUUCAGCCCCCACCCAGUGCCUUAUGCAUCAGAGCAUGCUGCCUCUCUCCCGCUGACGUCCGUGGCAAAGCUGCUCUUGAUGUCUCAUCAUUUGAACUAUGCACCAUGGGUUUAAUGGGAAAUAUUUAGUUGCAUUAGCAGUGGGCAGGAUCUGGGGCUGUUUCAUGGGAAUACACAGUAAUAACCUGGAAGCUUAUUCAGGGCAUUUUGUUUUAGGCUCCUUCUACAAGUUCUCAUCUAGUAUGAAUGCCGGAGAGAAGAUGUUUUUCAGCCUGGUUAUUUUUCUCUCUCUGUGGCAGAGCGGCCGAGCGACAAGCCAGAGGCUUCAAAGCUCGAAGGGAGAAGUUUAUCUCAUCUG